AUGGAUAAUAGGCAAAUCCACAUCAAUCUUAGAGGGCGUUUGGAUACGUGCAUUUCAUUUCAAAUGAUGGAUUUUAAAUGACAGGAUUUGAGUUGUCAUUUCAAACUAUCAGCUUUAUACUAAUAUUUGAAUGUCCUGGAUUUCAAAUGAAAUCCAAAUCUAUAUUCCCAAACAGAUUAUGUGUUCAAAUUCAGAAUUUCAAAUGAAAUCCAGGUUCCCAAACGGACCAUGAAGUAAAUUACUCUGAUUAAUUCGAAAUUUACCCUAAUAUUCAAGUACUACGACACAUGUAUAUUCAUAAGACCUUAGAUUCCAAUUCUAAAUAUCUAUUAAUAUCCCCAGCCAAAAUUAUUUCAUCAGCAAACCAAGAUAUACCUCUUCACUUAACAUGUCGAAAACAAGAGUACAGGGGAAUGCGAGAUGCAUAACAGCCCUUGUAUACAAAAUUCACACGCGCAAGUCAGUUAUAUAUAUAGCCAAUAAUAGGCAACACUAAACUAAAAGAAUUUAGGUCUUUAGCAGGCUCACUUUCAAUCUUUCAGUCUAUCCAACAAAUUAAAAAUAUUUAAAUUAAUAAAAUAGCAACUAACUCUUGGUUCAGCGGUAUCUACCUUGCUUCCUUUACCGGAUGUCGAGGGUUCGAUCCUUCUCAAAGACAAAACGAGUGUGUGCGUGGGUUUAAUCAUCAAAACAAUAACCAGCAUCACAAAUCGACUAUGUAGGUAAAUCCUCUUAACAGUUAAUGACGAAUAAUAUAAAGUUCUAAGUUGUGGUGCUUAAAUAAUCGCCCAUUUAGUUAAACCUAUCCUUCAACUGCUUUUAACCAAUAGAUGUAAUAUUUCGGAAUGGGGGAUCUUUGCUGAUUGCAGUUUUGGAUAUUAUAUUCAAAGGGAUCAAAUAAUUCAGAACCAAACCAGAUUCCAAAACAUUCCGUAUUAGUACACCAAGAAUACCUAUACUAUUCUAGUGUUCUUAUCCACUAAAAUCAACAAGAGUUAUCAUAAAGACACAACAAGUAAAAAUUCGGAGAAACAGCUACAAUCCCAUGAAGAAAUUGGCCUAGUCAGUAUGACCCCAGAUUCAUCCUAGCGAUCUCCAAAAUUANUUCCUCCCACCUCACACACUUAAGAAUACCUCAUGCACCAUUGGAAAUGACAAACAUUGAAACAACCAAGGAAGCACAUGGAUAAUAGGCAAAUCCACAUCAAUCUUAGAGGGCGUUUGGAUACGUGCAUUUCAUUUCAAAUGAUGGAUUUUAAAUGACAGGAUUUGAGUUGUCAUUUCAAACUAUCAGCUUUAUACUAAUAUUUGAAUGUCCUGGAUUUCAAAUGAAAUCCAAAUCUAUAUUCCCAAACAGAUUAUGUGUUCAAAUUCAGAAUUUCAAAUGAAAUCCAGGUUCCCAAACGGACCAUGAAGUAAAUUACUCUGAUUAAUUCGAAAUUUACCCUAAUAUUCAAGUACUACGACACAUGUAUAUUCAUAAGACCUUAGAUUCCAAUUCUAAAUAUCUAUUAAUAUCCCCAGCCAAAAUUAUUUCAUCAGCAAACCAAGAUAUACCUCUUCACUUAACAUGUCGAAAACAAGAGUACAGGGGAAUGCGAGAUGCAUAACAGCCCUUGUAUACAAAAUUCACACGCGCAAGUCAGUUAUAUAUAUAGCCAAUAAUAGGCAACACUAAACUAAAAGAAUUUAGGUCUUUAGCAGGCUCACUUUCAAUCUUUCAGUCUAUCCAACAAAUUAAAAAUAUUUAAAUUAAUAAAAUAGCAACUAACUCUUGGUUCAGCGGUAUCUACCUUGCUUCCUUUACCGGAUGUCGAGGGUUCGAUCCUUCUCAAAGACAAAACGAGUGUGUGCGUGGGUUUAAUCAUCAAAACAAUAACCAGCAUCACAAAUCGACUAUGUAGGUAAAUCCUCUUAACAGUUAAUGACGAAUAAUAUAAAGUUCUAAGUUGUGGUGCUUAAAUAAUCGCCCAUUUAGUUAAACCUAUCCUUCAACUGCUUUUAACCAAUAGAUGUAAUAUUUCGGAAUGGGGGAUCUUUGCUGAUUGCAGUUUUGGAUAUUAUAUUCAAAGGGAUCAAAUAAUUCAGAACCAAACCAGAUUCCAAAACAUUCCGUAUUAGUACACCAAGAAUACCUAUACUAUUCUAGUGUUCUUAUCCACUAAAAUCAACAAGAGUUAUCAUAAAGACACAACAAGUAAAAAUUCGGAGAAACAGCUACAAUCCCAUGAAGAAAUUGGCCUAGUCAGUAUGACCCCAGAUUCAUCCUAGCGAUCUCCAAAAUUAAAGCCAGGCUCAUUUCUAGCAACCCCAAAGGCUGAACUUGUACCAUCCGAAGCCAGGCUCAUUUCUAGCAACCCCAAAGGCUGAACUUGUACCAUCCGAAGCCAGGCUCAUUUCUAGCAACCCCAAAGGCUGAACUUGUACCAUCCGAAAUCACACGAGGAAAUAGACAUACAGCUCCCUUUAAGGCAAAAAUCAAGUCUAGUACUCUAACAGAUAAAUCAAGUGUGCAUUAAAACAUAACCCUUAAAAAUUAGCAUAAUCAGUAAGUAAUAAAACAUAAUGUGCAAAUGACCAGGGGAGGAUCUAGUAAAGGGCACAGGCAAUGUGCCCUUUUAAACAAAAUUGACGCUUUUUCGCCAUUAUAGAUUUUAAUAAAAUAUAGAAGUGUCCGCAUAAAAGUUAACAUAAGGGUGCCUUCCAAAACUUUACUUAUUGCUCCCCGGGGCCCAAAAAUAAAAUUCUAGAUCCGCCCCUGCAAAUUAGCAAAGCAACUAAUACAAGUCAUUGAGAUAAACCAUGACUUUUGUAAUAUUUUACUGAUAAUACAUAAAAGCAAUUAAAUAUAAAAAAUGCAACUGUUAACACAAAAGGCAAUCGAAGAUGUUUUAAGAUGGACAGAAGCAAAGUACAUAUACACUGUACAAUUAUAUUGUUUUUUUAAUAAAAAUAAAAUGAAUUAAUAUAUAUGGUGCAACACCCCCUCCCUUUCGAUUUUGAUGGGAGUAAAAAAGAAGUCGGGUGUGAGUUAUCAGUACAAUACAUGCGUACUGAACAUCACAUACUUUACAUGUAAAUGUAAGCGUAUCAUAGAUAU
rnacentral:lncRNA from 1 species